UAAACUUGUCCGACCUUUUCGAGCAUUUUCUGAAGAAAUUAGGUACCGCGUUUGGUAAAUGCGAAUAUACCUAGUUAGUGGAAAUGUGCUUGGGGUGUAAUUUAAUGGACAUGAACAAAUAAUGCUUAGAGAAUGAAGGAAGUAUGAAAAGAAAUGCAAGUGGAGGUUAAUUUAAACGAAGAAGAAUUGUACUAAGCGGCAAUUAAGUAAUUUAGUAACAGCAUAUCUGCGCUAUUUUACUGUAUGCAAAUAACAAUAUCUGUAAAAUCGUGAGAAAAACUGAUGCAGUAUGGAAAGAGACAAUCUCAUCUAUUGAAACAACAGUUUCCCUGUUGGAAUUGUUUCCGAAAGUGCAAUGUGGUGCCACGAAUAGAGGAUGAGAUUGAAAGCACUAAACAGAUGUCAUGCUUCUUUCUAUUCCUCUUCGCCAAAAAAAAAGGAAUUUAUACGGAAUAAAGUGGAUUCUGGCUUGGAUUUCUCUGCACUAAAGGAAAGGAAAUUAGAUGGAAUAAAAGUGGAUACAGUGGGAGUUAAACUCGCGAGUUAAAUGAUGAACGUAAAACUAAUUCUAACCAGCAUAUGACUUUGUGGGAAUGGUUUUUUAGGUAUGGCUUUAGCUAUGGCUUCGUGGGAGCAGAUACUAGUUAUUAAUGAUACAAGUUCGAUAUAAUCAUCAUAAUGAAACGCGUGUAACGUUACAAUCACGAGGUGUAACCACAUAGUUUUAGUUCCACAGGUUUCAUUAAUAAUGUUCAUAUUGUAUCAUUCAAAAUUUAAUCUACAACGGCCCAAACAGAUUUUAUUUGCAUUUUUCAUAAAACAAAAUUCAAAAUUAUCAAGUACCCAUACUAGUGGAUGUCAUGGUAAUCACGUUUGUCAAUUUUGGCGUUUGCGAUGGAAAAUAGCAGUAAUUAUUAUUUGCGUGCUUGUUCCGACACGCCGGUAAUCGCGCGAUUCUCAAGAGGACCUUAUUUUUAUUUACAUGAAAAUGUUUCAAAUCGUUCAGAUAGAACCGCGCAGGAUUAACGCUGUGUCUGAAGAAAGCGUAAUGAAUUCAUAAGAUGAAAUCCAAAGUGGACAUGGUAAAUCUGUCAUAAUGGCAAUGUUGUAGAUUACAGAAAUAAAGUAUCCAUUUGGUCAUAGAAUACUAAAUGAAUUAAGAAUGAGCAAAAAUUCAUAUUUGAUGGUAGUUCAAAUGUGAAAAGGUCACACCAUGCUUUUCAUUAAAUACAAGAACUUGUUCUUAUGAUGAAAAGAUCUUUGUCAUGUGGACUCCUAAAUUGCGAUAGAUGUAAGAAUGGAGAACAAUUCAAAUUUAAUAUGUUUGUAACCUUUUAGGUAAAUUAUUAAAACAGUUAGUAUUGUAUUAUCUGUUAG